AGUCACAGAGCGAGGCUGGAGAGAGACCGCGGCUGGCCAAACGAGGAGGGGAGAGGCUGGGCCACCCUUCGUCCUUGCGCUGGCAUUCCGAGGACUUCCGGCAAACACCACUCCCCAGCCCUGACGGUGGCCACAAGCCGCUGCUUGAAAACACCCCUGGGGAUUCAUUCUCAGCUUUCCAGAAAAGGUGAAAAAGACCAGGCACACAUCUCUUGCCCACAGGGCACUCAGGCUGCUUGAGUCUCCCCUGCAUCCACGCACUGAGCAUUCAUGUGAUGGAACAUCAGUCCUGGCUGUCUGCCUGUGAGGACACAGCAGGGUAACCAGGGAGAGGCGUGGAACAGGACGUGCGUUCUGGAGGUCUGCACAGUCGGAGAGAGCCGUGAGAAAGGAUGGCCACAUUUAUUGAGCGCCUACCAUGAUCUGUGUAUUUCUUGUGCAUCCACCUCACUUAAUCUACCCCUUGGGAAUGGAGGACGUUAGGGUCCUCAAUUUACAGACAGAUUAAAUAAAAACUUGUUCAAGGUCAA